UUUUAAGUUGUGGUAUGUACUAUUGUAUAAAUAUCUUUGUGCUAUUUACUCUUGUAAAAGUUUAUUCGAUGCAUUUUAUCUUUACAAGUGAAAUGAUUAAUAUUUUAUUUCGGAGACCUUGAGAAUCUAAUGUCCUGGAAGAAAAAGGAAAUGGACGCGUAAGCUAAACGGAAUUUUCAUUGAAAUUGAAAAUGGCUGUUCUAUGUAGGCGAGUAACGGGUAAUAAGUGAAAAACAACGAAAACCGGGAAAUGGUUAAUAUUUAUUCGACUGCUGUAAACCUGAAAAGCUGUCAACGAGCAUAGGCGAGAACAGUAGGAUAAUGCAAGGGGAACGCAUUUAUUAUUGUCACGUCUUGUUAAAACUUACGCAUAGUAUUUACGAACAUUGUUAGAUUACACGUGCCUAUGAUCGCUAUACUCAUAAUCACUAAGAGUUUUAAGUAUGCUCGUUUUUCCGAAUCGCAAUGUAACGUACAAAAAAAAACGCCUCUGGCUGGAAACUCUGAACAUCGUCGCUGAAAGAAUAUAAAUAUAAACUCGCGUAUGCAACUUUACGGAAGGCACCGGUAAGAAUACUACUAGGAGAAAAAGUCGCGAUAUCCUCUUCCGCUCAAGGCAAAACAAUUCUCGAGAAAGUACUUGGUAACAUAUCUGUCCUAUAUUGAUUCAUUGCGCUAGAACAUAGAAGAUCGAAGAACUAAGCGAUAUAUCGAUCUACGAUAGAACUGACCAAAAUCUUUCUCUGAUUUUGUCGCACUAACUUCUAGUUUUGUAGAAUUCAUUCGUAAAUGUUUUCCGAUUUUACUAUAACAAACGAAUGGUCUGGUAAAAUUGUCAAAGAUAAAUGGAGAUGUAUUUCGAUGGAAAAAAGAUGAAAAUGUUUCAAAAAUUCCCUGUCGAAGGUACGGUCGUAAAACAGCACGAUGUAAAAUUCAAAUAAAAUAUAAUACACUCACCCAUUUCAUGGAAUCACGAGAGGAUGGAAAACAUUUGCCACGUUGAAUGUUUUCUCGUGUAACGUCGGACAAAGUCAUUAAAGAAUCGUAUUUCUGCAUUUUGAAUAAUGGCGUUCAAUACGCCAUAUACAUAAUUCGAGCAUAAAUCAAGGAGCAUAUUUUCAUAACGUGAGGUCUCCUUCGUGCCUUUUUCCAGGGUGUAUGCUAAAAAAUAUCUCGAAUGUAUAAAGCGAGUACGCGAUGGCCCGUAUUCCUUAGUCCUUGAAAGAUUUUUCGCUAUCCCAAGUGGAGCCUUGAGCAACGUCUUCUCUGGAUGAAAAACAACCAGAAAAAUAUCGUCACGAGUAUUUUAAUUUUACAAUCUCUAUACUACGUGUUACGAAUCAAUAACAAAUUCUGCAGCUACCGACGUAGUACGUAGAUACGCUCUGAUCGUUUCACAAAAUAUGAAAUAGUCUAAAUUCGGAAACGUAAAAUCGAGAAUUACUGGAAUUGGAAGAUUAUCUUGAAAAUGUUAAAAUUUACGAAGGUCAAAGGAAAAACGCUAGUCUCUCCUAAAAUCAGGCAUAAACUUGAUUACGACAAAUCUUAGUUUUACGAACGAUAUCGCGGAAAUAAUUCGCCACGGUGUGGCACGAGGAUGCGGCAUGACACGCAAUGUAUCUAAAUAAAUCUUCAUGUGCUGGCUCGAUUUUACAUUUCAUCUUCUUAAUCCAUUCAUAAAUGUCGAACAUCUUUCUGUUAAAAAAUUCGAUAUAUACUAUACUUCCACUACUACUACUAUUAUAUUUGAAUAUAAGGAUCUAAAUAUUUCGCAAACAAUUUAAUACGAAUGAAUAUAAUUUCCGAACCGAAUAUUUUAAUUAAAUUAAUUCGAAUCGAUAAACAAAGUACAUCAGAUUCGUCGUUAUUUUUGGUAAAAUAACACCAUCGAGCAUAAUUUUAUUUGGAACAUCCGAUAAAUGUCAUGACAUAUCGUUCAAAGCAAACGUUCACUAAAUUAUAUAAUCUUAUCGAAUAUUUGGAACGAGAACACGCUCAAAUGUUUUUUACAUGACGCGACGCGAACUCUAAAACAAAUUAACUGAAAAUCAUAUCAACUCCAAAUACGCGGUUAUUUAUCGAACAAACCGAAUAGCUCCGGUGCUAGUUACGUACUUGGAAUUACAGAUUAUUCUAUUUUCAGAUAAUUUGUUAAAUUAGUGAAUAAAUUCAGAGAACAUUCGAUUGAUUCUCGUCCCAUUGGAAAAUACGCAUUGAUAAAUCCCGCAAUGGUAAUUAGACCAUGAUUAAUAGCUAAUUGGGACUCUAAUAGGAACGGCGACGAGUGUGGACGUGGAUCUAUAGGAAAUUGCGGCGAUUUCGUCCGCAAGAACGAUUGCGUCCGUGGUGAACGAUAAUUUACGAUACACAGACUCGAAAAUGCACUGGAUGAAUCCAGCUGGCCACGGCGACCGCCUCCUACAGAUACAAAGUGUAUUUACGAGCGACAUUGCACACCGGGUGAAAUAACUUUUAUACGGGACCAACUAAAUUUCCCGUAGCCCAGUUAGUUUAAAUCGCUAGAAAAACGAAAUAAUCGUCGAUAAAUUCAAAAGCAGCAUUCAUGUCUCUCCUUUCUUUUCCGAUCUACCAUAUAAAUUUCAUACUUGCACGUAAUUCCUUCUUCGUAUAAUGAAAAUCUUGGUUUUUAAGUGCUAACCGUACGACGAUGAAGCGAAAUGUUUACUUACUAUUUUCUCGAACGAAAACAUCCCUGCAAUCGAUAGAUUUUUGUUCUGUGGAUUUUCUCUAUAUAAUAUGAAAUCUGAAAGUGUCUUCAUGAAGGUCUUGAUUACGCGAUUAAUUUUGCUUCUUUUUCGCGAGAACCAAUAGGAUACAGAGCUUCCAAGAGACAAAGAAGCUACGAGAAUCUUCUUUAAAAUUUUGUACGGAACAAAUAUUUGCAUGUUGCUCGCGCUUGUUAAGCUCGUCUAGCCGCUGAAAAAUUCAGAUCUAGCGUGGAACAAUAGGCAGAUGGUAUCAAGAAAACGAGUAACGCCAGAAAAUGUAGUACGAGGUCGAAAGUCGAGAGGUGGACGAUGUUAGAUGAAAGGACAAAGGGCGUGGAGUUAAAGUAGAGGAGUAGAAAAACAAAGAUGCUAAAACGUUUGAAGAUGGUAGAGUCUGGACGGAAGAUUUAAACGACUCGUUCCUUUAACUUUCUUCCAUUCGGCUUUAUUCACGAAUCAAUUAAUAUUUCGCCAAUUUAACGAGUAUCUUAUGAAGAUGAAACGAUACCAAACGAAUGUCAGAGGAGCAUGGAACAUGCAAGAAAAGUGAUUUUCCUAUAGCAGGAUGACUCGUACCUUGAAUCUUGUUUCAAAAAAUUGUGCUCUACAACCUACAAUACAAGUCCGCAAAUGUCUGCGCCCGGAGAAAGAGCGUAUAAGCGAGCGUCAAGACAGUUUAACCUCCAAUUGCAGUCUUUGCCAUGGAACAGAGCUGUAUCAAAUGUUUCAUAGUCUUGGAGUGCUUUACGGGCAAAGAUGAGCCGGAAAGAGCGGAAAGCAAGUAAGGCAGAGCCAGCAACACGGCUGGAGAAAGUGGCGAAAUGCCAAGCGAUAUAUCGUCGUGAACAGCGUCGUUUUUUUCGAAUAAAGCCAUCUUAUAAUAUCUUCUUGAUAUUCUUGUUAAAGGCAAAGGAAUAGGCAGCGCCUUUGCCAUCCAACUCCUUUCCUUGACCACCUAGCAUUUUAACGUCGUUGUUUCUAUAAGUAGAUUCAUAGAUAAAUUACGCUGAGAAUUAAUAUCGCUGGCUUUGAUUUAUGUCUUAUUUUCCUCUCCUUUUGGACUUUAGACGAU